rnacentral:rRNA from 1 species
CUGUAGGUGAACUGCGGAAGGUCAUUGUCGAGAACCCUAAAAGUUCAAGCGAUCUGUGCAGACAGUUUGGGGAUGCGGUCCCGCAUUAUGCCUCCACCCGUCGUGCGGGUCCUUUGGUUGUGGCGAUCCGCAUGGCGUGGUAAACUAGCUAUGGGCGCAGUUAUGCGCCAAGUGACGAGUGAAUGUCUCUGCUAAUGUGGCUUAUGUGUAUGCCCAUGGGUUGAUGAGGCAUGACAUGUGCAUUUGAUCAGAUGACUCUCGACAACGGAUAUCUUGGCUCUCGCAUCGAUGAAGAACGCAGCGAAACGCGAUAUGUGUUGUGAAUUGCAGAAUCCCGUGAAUCAUCUAGUCUUUGAACGCAAGUCGCGCCUGAGGAUGCAAGCCGAGGGCACGCCUGCAUGGGUGUGAUGUGCUUAGUCGCUCAAUAUAGUUGUUUGUGGAUGCCUUUUUGGGUGUCUAGGACUAUGAUUAGAGGCGGGCAAUGGCUCCCCAUGCUAUGCCAUGGCGGGUUGAAGUGUGGGUCGACGAUCGAUAGGUGGUGCUAUUAGAGGUGGAUGACAUGUCGUUUAAGCGACUAAAGGGAAAUGUCAUUGCAACUUGUUGUUCAUAUGACCCUCACAAAUCCAACACCAUGUCCUUUAUUUGGAAUGUGACCCCAUGUCAGCGAGC